rnacentral:tRNA from 1 species
AAGGGAGACCUAAUUCGGGUAUAAGACGAAAAAAGAGUAGUCGAAACCAAGAAUCAAUCCCAAAAGGUCGGAACGAGGUAUGUGGCUUUCAAACUAGGUUCUGGGUUCACACAAGACCUGAAUCAGGAACAAGGGCUAUUAGCUCAGGUGGUUAGAACGCACCCCUGAUAAGGGUGAGGUCCCUGGUUCGAGUCCAGGAUGGCCCACCUGCACAGGUGGCAAAAACAAAGAAGCGAGGAAUCAGCACCUUAUCUUAUCUAUAUAUAAGAGAGAAUGCUGGCUCUGAGUAAAGAGUCCAGAGGAACCUUGAAAACUGCAUAGAGCUAGGUGAAAAAGCCAAAAAAGAAGACCGCAA